CAAGUCGAGCGAAUGGAUUAAGAGCUUGCUCUUAUGAAGUUAGCGGCGGACGGGUGAGUAACACGUGGGUAACCUGCCCAUAAGACUGGGAUAACUCCGGGAAACCGGGGCUAAUACCGGAUAACAUUUUGAACCGCAUGGUUCGAAAUUGAAAGGCGGCUUCGGCUGUCACUUAUGGAUGGACCCGCGUCGCAUUAGCUAGUUGGUGAGGUAACGGCUCACCAAGGCAACGAUGCGUAGCCGACCUGAGAGGGUGAUCGGCCACACUGGGACUGAGACACGGCCCAGACUCCUACGGGAGGCAGCAGUAGGGAAUCUUCCGCAAUGGACGAAAGUCUGACGGAGCAACGCCGCGUGAGUGAUGAAGGCUUUCGGGUCGUAAAACUCUGUUGUUAGGGAAGAACAAGUGCUAGUUGAAUAAGCUGGCACCUUGACGGUACCUAACCAGAAAGCCACGGCUAACUACGUGCCAGCAGCCGCGGUAAUACGUAGGUGGCAAGCGUUAUCCGGAAUUAUUGGGCGUAAAGCGCGCGCAGGUGGUUUCUUAAGUCUGAUGUGAAAGCCCACGGCUCAACCGUGGAGGGUCAUUGGAAA
rnacentral:rRNA from 3 species